rnacentral:lncRNA from 1 species
CACAUACUCAGUCACUGACUCCAAAUGAUCUGCAGUGCUUCUUCUGUGCGUUCGAGCGAUGUGAUGUUUCACUCGACUGUUCGGGAGAUAAGACUCUGUGUAUUCAAGGAACAUUGAACAAUGAAGCCUAUGGCUGUGUAUCACCAAGUGUGUGUACUGCAAGUAGAAGGCUGGGAGAACUACCAUUAUUACCAGAGUUAGGAACCUUCAGCUCUGGACCAAACUGUUGUGAUACAAAUGACUGUAAUGAUGGAACUACAACUACCACACCUCCAACUACAACUACCCCACCUCCAACUACAACUAUCACACCUCCAACUACAACUACCACACCUCCAACUACAACUACCACACCUCCAACCACAACUACCACACCUCCAACCACAACUACCACACCUCCAACUACAACUACCACACCUCCUACUACAACUACCACACCUCCAACCACAACUACCACACCUCCAACUACAACUACCACACCUCCUACUACAACUACCACACCUCCAACUACAACUACCACACCUCCAACUACAACUACCACACCUCCAACCACGACUACCACAGCAGCACCAACCACAACAACUAUGACCCCCCCAAACACAGGUAUUCAAUGUAAUGAAGGAGUUGGUUUGAUUUACAAUUUGUGAUUUAAAUUUAUUCUUUCAUUGGGAAUUUUACAAAUACAGUAAUGAAUGAAAACAUGUCAAAUUAAAUGAGGUUUUAACUAUAAACGCUGAAAACCUUUUAACCUCACAUUUUUAACAUUCACACAAAGUCCUGCUACGUUUUUGUUCUCAUUCCAGGACUUCAGUGUCUAUCCUGCUCAGAUUCAUCUUGUUCCAGUCCAGAGUCAGUGACUUGUUCUUCAGAGACUAUGUGUAUAACAGCUUCCAUUAAAGAUCUUUCAUCAGGAGAGGAGAGUUUUUUCAGAGGAUGUGCUCCUCCCACACUGUGUCCACACAACGGCACCUUUAAGUUUUCUACUGAUGUGGUGGAGUCACAUAAAAUCAUAGAUGCUGAAUGCUGCGACACAAACAACUGUAACUCAGAAACUCUGACUGUUCCUGUUCAACAGGCAGAAAACGGCCUUGACUGUUUCUUCUGUAUCUCUGUCUCCAACUCUUGCUCGUUUACUGUCCAUUGUGAAGGAGCACAGGACCGCUGCUUUGAUGGAUAUGUCUCAACUGAUACUGGAGUUCAACCUGUUGCUGGCUGCACAUCAACAGAUGUGUGUGAAAUUGCUCCUGAUCACGGUGUACUGCCAUUUAUGGAAGGAGUGGGAAAUCUAACCAGUGGACCAACCUGUUGUGGAACAAACCAUUGCAAUGAUUUCACAGAACCAACAACAGCAGGACCAACUACAACUCCUAUGAGUACAACAGUUCCAGGACUUCAGUGUCUAUCCUGCUCAGGAUCAUCUUGUUCCAGUCCAGUGUCAGUGACUUGUUCUUCAGAGACUAUGUGUGUAACAGCUUCCAUUAAAGAUCUUUCAUCAGGAGAUGAGAGUUUUUUCAGAGGAUGUGCUCCUCCCACACUGUGUCCACACAACGGCACCUUUAAGUUUUCUACUGAUGUGGUGGAUUCAUAUAAAAUCAUAGAUGCUGAAUGCUGCGACACAAACAACUGUAACUCAGAAACUCUGACUGUUCCUGUUCAACAGGCAGAAAACGGCCUUGACUGUUUCUUCUGUAUCUCUGUCUCCAACUCUUGCUCAUUUACUGUCCAUUGUGAAGGAGCACAGGACCGCUGCUUUGAUGGAUAUGUCUCAACUGAUAAUGGAGUUCAACCUGUUGCUGGCUGCACAUCAACAGAUGUGUGUGAAAUUGCUCCUGAUCACGGUGUACUGCCAUUUAUGGAAGGAGUGGGAAAUCUAACCAGUGGACCAACCUGUUGUGGAACAAACCACUGCAAUGAUUUCACAGAACCAACAACAGCAGGACCAACUACAACUCCUAUUAUUACAACAGUUCCAGGACUUCAGUGUCUAUCCUGCUCAGGAUCAUCUUGUUCCAGUCCAGUGUCAGUGACUUGUUCUUCAGAGACUAUGUGUGUAACAGCUUCCAUUAAAGAUGUUUUAUCUGGAGAUGAGAGUUUUUUCAGAGGAUGUGCUCCUCCCACACUGUGUCCACACAACGGCACCUUUAAGUUUUCUACUGAUGUGGUGGAGUCAUAUAAAAUCAUAGAUGCUGAAUGCUGCGACACAAACAACUGUAACUCAGAAACUCUGACUGUUCCUGUUCAACAGGCAGAAAAUGUCCUUGACUGUUUCUUCUGUAUCUCUGGCACCGACAUUUGUGUGUUUACUGUCCAUUGUGAAGGAGCACAGGACCGCUGCUUUGAUGGAUAUGGUGGGUUUCUAAACUAG